rnacentral:rRNA from 1 species
UACGAAGGGGGGCUAGCGUUGUUCGGAUUUACUGGGCGUAAAGCGCACGUAGGCGGAUCGUUAAGUCAGGGGUGAAAUCCUGGAGCUCAACUCCAGAACUGCCUUUGAUACUGAGAGGCUAGAGUCCGGAAGAGGUAAGUGGAACUGCGAGUGUAGAGGUGAAAUUCGUAGAUAUUCGCAAGAACACCAGUGGCGAAGGCGGCUUACUGGUCCGGUACUGACGCUGAGGUGCGAAAGCGUGGGGAGCAAACAGGG